AUGUCUGACCCAGGGGUGAGCUAUGUUAAUAAGCUAGUGUUGAGAAUGUCUGACCCAGGGGUGAGCUAUGUUAAUAAGCUAGUAGUGAGAAUGUCUGACCCAGGGGUGAGCUAUGUUAAUAAGCUAAUGGUGAGAAUGUCUGACCCAGGGGUGAGCUAUGUUAAUAAGCUAGUGGUGAGAAUGAAUGACCCAGGGGUGAGCUAUGUUAAUAAGCUAGUGGUGAGAAUGUCUGACCCAGGGGUGAGCUAUGUUAAUAAGCUAGUGGUGAGAAUGUCUGACCCAGGGGUGAGCUAUGUUAAUAAGCUAGUGGUGAGAAUGUCUGACCCAGGGGUGAGCUAUGUUAAUAAGCUAGUGGUGAGAAUGUCUGACCCAGAGGUGAGCUAUGUUAAUAAGCUAGUGGUGAGAAUGAAUGACCCAGGGGUGAGCUAUGUUAAUAAGCUAGUGGUGAGAAUGUCUGACCCAGGGGUGAGCUAUGUUAAUAAGCUAGUGGUGAGAAUGUCUGACCCAGGGGUGAGCUAUGUUAAUAAGCUAGUGGUGAGAAUGUCUGAGCCAGGGGUGAGCUAUGUUAAUAAGCUAGUGGUGAGAAUGUCUGACCCAGGGGUGAGCUAUGUUAAUAAGCUAGUGGUGAGAAUAUCUGACCCAGGGGUGAGCUAUGUUAAUAAGCUAGUGGUGAGAAUGUCUGACCCAGGGGUGAGCCAUGUUAAUAAGCUAGUGGUGAGAAUGUCUGACUCAGGGGUGAGCUAUGAUAAUAAGCUAGUGGUGAGAAUGUCUGACCCAGGGGUGAGCUAUGUUAAUAAGCUAGUGGUGAGAAUGUCUGACCCAGAGGUGAGCUAUGUUAAUAAGCUAGUGGUGAGAAUGAAUGACCCAGGGGUGAGCUAUGUUAAUAAGCUAGUGGUGAGAAUGUCUGACCCAGGGGUGAGCUAUGUCAAUAAGCUAGUGGUGAGAAUGUCUGACCCAGGGGUGAGCUAUGUUAAUAAGCUAGUGGUGAGAAUGUCUGACCCAGGGGUGAGCUAUGUUAAUAAGCUAGUGGUGAGAAUGUCUGACCCAGGGGUGAGCUAUGUUAAUAAGCUAGUGGUGAGAAUAUCUGACCCAGGGGUGAGCUAUGUUAAUAAGCUAGUGGUGAGAAUGUCUGACCCAGGGGUGAGCCAUGUUAAUAAGCUAGUGGUGAGAAUGUCUGACUCAGGGGUGAGCUAUGAUAAUAAGCUAGUGGUGAGAAUGUCUGACCCAGGGGUGAGCUAUGUUAAUAAGCUAGUGGUGAGAAUGUCUGACCCAGGGGUGAGCUAUGUUAAUAAGCUAGUGGUGAGAAUGUCUGACCCAGGGGUGAGCUAUGUUAAUAAGCUAGUGGUGAGAAUGUCUGACCAAGGGGUGAGCUAUGUUAAUAAGCUAAUGGUGAGAAUGUCUGACCCAAGGGUGAGCUAUGUAAAUAAGCUAGUGGUGAGAAUGAAUGACCCAGGGGUGAGCUAUGUUAAUAAGCUAGUGGUGAGAAUGUCUGACCCAGGGGUGAGCUAUGUUAAUAAGCUAAUGGUGAGAAUGUCUGACCCAGGGGUGAGCUAUGUUAAUAAGCUAGUGGUGAGAAUGAUUGACCCAGGGGUGAGCUAUGUUAAUAAGCUAGUGGUGAGAAUGUCUGACCCAGGGGUGAGCUAUGUUAAUAAGCUAGUGGUGAGAAUGUCUGACCCAGAGGUGAGCUAUGUUAAUAAGCUAGUGGUGAGAAUGUCUGACUCAGGGGUGAGCUAA
rnacentral:lncRNA from 1 species